UAAAGAUAAGACACUAUACAGUGCAUUUGAAGAAAUAACAUUCACUUGUUUUAAGAAGAAAAAGCAGCACCAGCAACUCCCCAUAACUGUGUUCAUCACUCGGAAGAAGACACCAGACACUACGCCUUUAGCGACAACAGAAGUUAUGGACGAGGGUGAAGAUACUGCACCACCUGAUGAAGAGCUGUAAUGCUCUUCUUGGGUAUGCAGUACAUUCAUUUCAUCACCUUCAUCAUCAUUAGUACUGCACACUUAAUUCAUCAUCAUCUUCAUCAUUCAAGUUGUACCUUCACUGAGAGGACCUUUGGCUGAUCCUGAACACUUGGCUGUUGCAAACAAGAACAGAGCAAACACCGUAC